rnacentral:rRNA from 1 species
GACGAACGCUGGCGGCGUGCUUAACACAUGCGAGUCGAACGGAAAGGCCUUUUCGGCGGUACUCGAGUGGCGAACGGGUGAGUAACACGUGGGUGAUCUGCCCUGCACUCUGGGAUAAGCCUGGGAAACUGGGUCUAAUACCGGAUAGGACCGCACUUUAGUGUGUGUGGUGGAAAGUUUUUUCGGUGUAGGAUGCGCCCGCGGCCUAUCAGCUUGUUGGUGGGGUAAUGGCCUACCAAGGCGGCGACGGGUAGCCGGACUGAGAGGUUGGUCGGCCACAUUGGGACUGAGAUACGGCCCAGACUCCUACGGGAGGCAGCAGUGGGGAAUAUUGCACAAUGGGCGCAAGCCUGAUGCAGCGACGCCGCGUGGGGGAUGACGGCCUUCGGGUUGUAAACUCCUUUCGCCAGGGACGAAGCGUUUUGUGACGGUACCUGGAGAAGAAGCACCGGCUAACUACGUG